rnacentral:rRNA from 1 species
GACGAACGCUGGCGGCGUGCUUAACACAUGCAAGUCGAACGGAAAGGCCCUGCUUUUGUGGGGUGCUCGAGUGGCGAACGGGUGAGUAACACGUGAGUAACCUGCCCUUGACUUUGGGAUAACUUCAGGAAACUGGGGCUAAUACCGGAUAGGAGCUCCUGCUGCACGGUGGGGGUUGGAAAGUUUCGGCGGUUGGGGAUGGACUCGCGGCUUAUCAGCUUGUUGGUGGGGUAGUGGCUUACCAAGGCUUUGACGGGUAGCCGGCCUGAGAGGGUGGCCGGCCACAUUGGGACUGAGAUACGGCCCAGACUCCUACGGGAGGCAGCAGUGGGGAAUAUUGCACAAUGGGCGGAAGCCUGAUGCAGCAACGCCGCGUGCGGGAUGACGGCCUUCGGGUUGUAAACCGCUUUCGCCUGUGACGAAGCGUGAGUGACGGUAAUGGGUAAAGAAGCACCGGCUAACUACGUGCCAGCAGCCGCGGUGAUACGUAGGGUGCGAGCGUUGUCCGGAUUUAUUGGGCGUAAAGGGCUCGUAGGUGGUUGAUCGCGUCGGAAGUGUAAUCUUGGGGCUUAACCCUGAGCGUGCUUUCGAUACGGGUUGACUUGAGGAAGGUAGGGGAGAAUGGAAUUCCUGGUGGAGCGGUGGAAUGCGCAGAUAUCAGGAGGAACACCAGUGGCGAAGGCGGUUCUCUGGGCCUUUCCUGACGCUGAGGAGCGAAAGCGUGGGGAGCGAACAGGCUUAGAUACCCUGGUAGUCCACGCUGUAAACGGUGGGUACUAGGUGUGGGGUCCAUUCCACGGGUUCCGUGCCGUAGCUAACGCUUUAAGUACCCCGCCUGGGGAGUACGGCCGCAAGGCUAAAACUCAAAGGAAUUGACGGGGCCCCGCACAAGCGGCGGAGCAUGCGGAUUAAUUCGAUGCAACGCGUAGAACCUUACCUGGGUUUGACAUGGAUCGGGAGUGCUCAGAGAUGGGUGUGCCUCUUUUGGGGUCGGUUCACAGGUGGUGCAUGCCUGUCGUCAGCUCGUGUCGUGAGAUGUUGGGUUAAGUCCCGCAACGAGCGCAACCCUUGUUCACUGUUGCCAGCACGUUAUGGUGGGGACUCAGUGGAGACCGCCGGGGUCAACUCGGAGGAAGGUGGGGAUGACGUCAAGUCCUCAUGCCCCUUAUGUCCAGGGCUUCACGCAUGCUACAAUGGCUGGUACAGAGAGUGGCGAGCCUGUGAGGGUGAGCGAAUCUCGGAAAGCCGGUCUCAGUUCGGAUUGGGGUCUGCAACUCGACCUCAUGAAGUCGGAGUCGCUAGUAAUCGCAGAUCAGCAACGCUGCGGUGAAUACGUUCCCGGG